rnacentral:rRNA from 1 species
UACAGAGGGUGCAAGCGUUAAUCGGAAUUGCUGGGCGUAAAGCGUGCGUAGACGGUUAUUUAAGUCGGGUGUGAAAGCCCCGGGCUCAACCUGGGAAUUGCAUUCGAGACUGAAUAGCUAGGGUGCGGAAGAGGGAAGCGGAAUUUCCGGUGUAGCGGUGAAAUGCGUAGAGAUGCGGAGGAACACCAGUGGCGAAAGCGACUUUCUGGUCCUUAACUGACGCUGAGGCGCGAAAGCAUGGGGAGCGAACGGG